GCAGUCGAACGGGAUCAGAUCAAGCUUGCUUUGGUUUGGUGAGAGUGGCGCACGGGUGCGUAACGCGUGAGCAACCUACCCUUGUCAGGGGGAUAGCCCGGCGAAAGUCGGAUUAAUACCGCAUGACAUCAUUGAGAGGCAUCUUUCGAUGAUCAAAGAUUUAUCGGACAAGGAUGGGCUCGCGUGACAUUAGCUAGUUGGUAAGGUAACGGCUUACCAAGGCUACGAUGUCUAGGGGCUCUGAGAGGAGAAUCCCCCACACUGGUACUGAGACACGGACCAGACUCCUACGGGAGGCAGCAGUAAGGAAUAUUGGUCAAUGGACGGAAGUCUGAACCAGCCAUGCCGCGUGCAGGAGGACGGCCCUAUGGGUUGUAAACUGCUUUUAUACGGGAACAAACGUCGGUACGUGUACCGGUCUGAGUGUACCGUAAGAAUAAGGAUCGGCUAACUCCGUGCCAGCAGCCGCGGUAAUACGGAGGAUCCGAGCGUUAUCCGGAAUUAUUGGGUUUAAAGGGUGCGUAGGCGGCCAGAUAAGUCAGGGGUGAAAGUCGGCAGCUCAACUGUCGCAGUGCCUUUGAUACUGUUUGGCUUGAAUUCGGUUGAAGAUGGCGGAAUGAGACAAGUAGCGGUGAAUGCAUAGAUAUGUCUCAGACCCCGAUUGCGAAGCACUAUCUAAUCGUUAUUGAGCUGAUGCACGAAACGUGGGAGCAACAGAUAGAUACCUGUAGU
rnacentral:rRNA from 1 species